CAACAAAUUCCAAAAGGGGGAGAGGGCCAGCUUCACCUUCACCCGGCCUCAUCCAGGCCUGAUCUGGGCGAGCCAACCGCCUUUGCUAGUAAUUGUAUCUAACAUGGCAGACGACAAUCCCUCUAAACGUCCUUCUUUGAAGGCUAAGGCAAAGUCCCACUACUUGCGCAGGCAGGACAAGGAACCUAAGGGCUCUAGACAGGACAAGGAACCUUCCAAGGCCGCCCAACGUGACGCCUUAAGGCGCCACAAAGCGUUGGAAAAAGAGUUUGACCGGCGUUCAAGGGAGUCCCGCUCGGAGCCGUCAAUACCUCCUCCUCCAAACCCUUCUACCUCUGCUCAAUCUCUCCCCUCAGACCCCUCUUCCCUACCUAGGCGCAGUUCGCUUCAGGGUCUUCCGACCCCCGGACCUCCGACCAGACGGACCCCCGAAGCCACCUUUACACCCACAGCCGCUGGUCUGCGCCACGAUGAACCCUCUACCUCCGAGGUUCCACCUCACAUCAGGGCUUGGAUGGAAUCAGCCAUCCGCCAGGGCAUAGCAGAGGGACUACAACACAUGACAAGAUCAGGCUUCUCUCCGCGAGCCUCCGAGCACGACUCGAUAUCAAUCAGAUCCCUUCCACAACCGGUCCCCCCAGUUGAUCAGGUACUCUCUCAGAGGGACAGCCCUCCUCCGAUUGGGGCCCAGGUGGAGGAGGAAGGGGACUUUGGGGAUUUCAGGGAAGAGGAAGAGGAUUCCCGGAUGGGAUCCUCCCGCUACAGUGAACCCCUCUUAGAGGCUGACAUCAUGGAGGGGGAGAUGUCGGAGGACGAGGAUCCUUCUCCCGACCAACCCUCCUUUGGGGGGCUGUUCAAACCGCAUAUGUUCAAGUCCCUCCUCCUUAAGGCCAAGAAUGUCUCUGGCCUUCUUUCCCAGUCCACUGCAGAAACCCCCCCUGUCCCAGAGGGCCCGGAAGACUCCAUUUUCACCCAACCAGUGGUGGAAGCUGAGGUCAUCCCAUCCCCUCCCAUCUUCGUAGAUCUGGUAGCGAAGCAACUUACCUCCUCAGGGACCCCUCCCACUCCCUCUAGCCAAGACAAGAGAUUCUUUAAUCUCGAUUCGGCUCUGUCUAACCUCCUGAUUAUCCCGGAGGUUGAUGACCCCAUUGUGGGUCUAGCCUCCUCCUCUACCCCUAGUGAGGCCCUAGAGGCCUUGAAACCUGAGGACAGGCGGGCGGAGCAGGCGCUACGCAGGGCUCACCUAUCUGACGCCUGGGCCAUUAAAUCAGCUACGGCCGCCUCAUUUUUCACGAGGUCCUCUAUCCGCUGGCUACGUCAGCUCAAGGACCACAUCCCUGCUUCCAAUCUCAGAGCUCACCAG
rnacentral:lncRNA from 1 species